UUGACUAGAUGGAUCUUUGUUGGCAGAGUAAUGUCUCUGCUUUUUAAUAUGCUAUCUAGGCUGGUCAUAACUUUCCUUCCAAGGAGUAAGCGUCUUUUAAUUUCAUGGCUGCAGUCACCAUCCACAAUGAUUUUGGAGCCC